AAAAAACCACAAGUUCAUAGCAACUUGAUUUGUGAUGAGUAGAUGAGCUUUCUUUUUAACAAUGUAAAAUUUAGUAUUUUUCCAUUUACUGAUCAUUUUAUGAUACUCAUGGUUUUGCAGUGGUUAAUUCUAUGGUGAGUAGAGUGAUUCAUACUAGAGACUGCGGUGCCUGAUGCUAAUGGAAAUGGCCCAGUUGAUAACCAUAGCUAUGCAGAGCAACGAUUGCAGCAGGUCGUCGAAUCUAAGUAUAUCAUGAAGGAUCUUCUGCAGAACCGGUUCAUUUGAAAGUGCAAUGAAUGUUAUACAAGAACACCUGCCUUCAUCUGUUGAGGCGAUUUUGCCCCCUAUUUUUUUUUUUUUUUUAAAUUACCCAUUGCCAUACCCCUAGGUAUAAGAGGCGAUCCUUAGUAUGCGCCCAUUUUUUUCUUCCUUUCGCUCUCCUCCCCUCAGCUCUACCAGAGUUUCAUAAUUCUGUCUUGCUCUGAAAAUCGGAGCUAAGAUGCUUCUUUGGGCUUAGGGACCUGGCAGUCCAGCCCUGGCUUGGUCGGUGCCGCCGCCGCCAUCAAGUCUUUUUGUGAUUCUUCUAAUUGCAGGCAGGAUAUCGGCAUAUUGAUUGUGCUCCACUCUAUGGCAAUGAGAAGGAGGUGAUUUUAGUCGCUUUCAGUUGCAAAACCCGAUCAUGCCUGAUUUCAAGGGCCAAAAUGGUUCAUACAGAACGAAUAUACAUUGCAUGUUGAUAGGAUUUGGUAUCAUUUGGAACUAUAUAUUCACACAUUGGACAGCUGGUAUCAAUUGGAACUGUGUAAGAAAGCUUUGGAGAACAUAAUUGUGUAUCUGGAAACUGGUUGUGGAAAGACCCACAUGCCGUGUUGCUUAUGUAUGAACCAGUUGAUACUCAAACCUCAGAAGAACGUAUGUGUGUUCUGAGUCCUGGAGAUCGUUGUGGUAUAUAUGGAUCAAAUUGCUCCCAAUGGAUUAUUGCAAUGGAGAUUUUGAAGCCAGACAUGUUUUUAAAGAAGAUGGAGAGAGAGGUUAGAAGAACAUGAAGCGGAAGAAGUUUGUUUUUCAUCAUCUGUCAUAGCUUCAGUUUGGUUGAAUCAAUUAUAAAAUGCAUGAUUUCCUCAGUCCUUGAUGCUUUGCUUUGUUGAAUCCAGGAGAUUGAGUACCAUAUUAUGAGAGUUGCUAGGACUGAAAACCACUAAAUGCUGAAGAAUGGAGUGGAUUUAUGUUAUCAUGCAUAUAUAUAUAUAUGGUCAAGUAAACUUUAAAUGUAGUGUUGUGAACGUUGUCAAAUAGCACUGGUAGUAGUAUA